GGCAUGGUGAAGGGUUGGGUGAGGAAAUUGAGACUCUCUUCCAACCCCUUUCAGUCUUGUUAUUAAAGGGCAUAGGUUUUAGUGUGGGAAACUCAUUCUAUGGUGUUUUAUUAUUUUUUUUUUCUUUUGAGGUUCCACUCUCUUGCCUUCUGGUGUGUGGGAUGUGAACAUCUUAUUUCUUAGUUUUAAUGCCUGCAGUCAUAUUAUUCUUAAAGACUUGAGUGUGGGAACAAUGGUCCCUGCCAUUUUGAAGAAUUUUCUAAGGUCCUCUCAUCUUCCUACUAUCUCCGUAGCAGACACAAUGCCUCUCUGAUUUAAAGAGAGGAAAGAAUACAUGGAGGGAGACUUCCUUGCUUCUUAUCAGGAGCCUGAGGUCGAUUCAGACAAGUAUGACUGAAGGCCUACUCUUGCCGAGGAGGAUUUCAUCGGAGGAUAAAAUCUCCCUCAACUGCCGUCUUGGUCUCCAAAGAGGACUUCUUUUUGAAAACUCUGACUCCCAGAGAUUAAGAGCAAUUAACUGUCUCUCCACAGACUAAUUCAAAUGCAAUAUUUUGCCACGGGAGGAGGCUCUGCCCUUCUGCUAAGGGAUCCAUUUACCCCACCCAAUCUACUUCCUUAAGCAGAGUUAAAGCCGAUUAUUAAUACAGAGUAUUUAGACGUUCACGGACCCAAGGGCCUAUUGAUUCAGAGAGUGACUUCCAAAUUCCCAAGCUGAUUUCCUUACCUCAAGUCCAUGUCUCCGUCUGCCCAGUAAGCCAAGAUAUUAGAAGCUGUUCCACCUGGACAGCAUCCCAUGAUUAUAAUCACCACUGCCUGCACAGGCAGGACGUUGAAGGCAAGCGACAGGAUGAAACCUGUGAGGGGCAUAAUUCCAAACUGGCAGAGGAAGCCCACUAUUAUGCCCCAUGGUCUUCUUAAAUGUCCCAGGAAUUUCUUUACUUCCACAUUGCAGCCCAUUGAAAACAUCACCAUGGCCAGCAUGACGGUCAAAACUGUACUUAAGACUAUAUUCAAAAUUUUGUUGAAAUUGUUCUCAGGUACCAGGCAUGAGUUACCCUGGCAAAUGGUGGCAUUUUCAAAGCAGGUUGAAAAAUUCAUUGCUGGAUUUGCUGCCAAAAUCAUAAAAAUAAUGUUGGCUAAGGCCUGAUGCCGACAUACACCAAAUCAAGCAAUACUUGUUGUAUUCCCGUUGAGGUUAGACCUUAGCACACAUGUGUCACUUGGGAAGUCUUUAAAACUCCCUGAGAGGCCAUAAAGAACAAUAAAUACCUGGAUUUACCA